GACGAACCGUGCAAACGUUGUUCGGAAUCACUGGGCUUAAAGGGCGCGUAGGCGGCUUGUCAAGUCAGGGGUGAAAUCUUUCGGCUUAAACGGAAAAGUGCCUUUGAUACUGACAGGCUCGAGGGAGGUAGGGGUAUGUGGAACUUCUGGUGGAGCGGUGAAAUGCGUAGAUAUCGGAAGGAACACCGGUGGCGAAAGCGGCGCGCUGGACCUCUUCUGACGCUGAGGCGCGAAAGCCAGGGGAGCAAACGGG
rnacentral:rRNA from 1 species